UUCCAUUUUUAACCACGACACGGGAGAAUGGU
rnacentral:piRNA from 1 species